ACGUGCUACAAUGGCGCAUACAAAGAGAAGCGACCUCGCGAGAGCAAGCGGACCUCAUAAAGUGCGUCGUAGUCCGGAUUGGAGUCUGCAACUCGACUCCAUGAAGUCGGAAUCGCUAGUAAUCGUGGAUCAGAAUGCUACGGUGAAUACGUUCCCGGGCCUUGUACACACCGCCCGUCACACCAUGGGAGUGGGUUGCAAAAGAAGUAGGUAGCUUAACCUUCGGGAGGGCGCUUACCACUUUGUGAUUCAUGACUGGGGUGAAGUCGUAACAAGGUAACCGUAGGGGAACCUGCGGUUGGAUCACCUCCU
rnacentral:rRNA from 1 species